UGUCACCUGAUUCCAACUCGAUCUAGUGAUCUACCUCUCGCCUUGGUGGAAGCUUUUUGGGGAGUUCCAAGGGCAUUACGUCCUUCUAUUCCUUAAGAAUCAUUAGACACACUUCUACACCAUUUGCUUGGUUUUGGAUAUACUAUUGCUUAGUUUCUGCACAAUUGCAACAAAGUAUAUUGUAGACUUUAAUCAUCUUUUGAAUUACAAGGCGAAAAUCAUUGGAUACUUUAGCUUCUCAAGGAAUUUUAUAGGAAUUACUCAUAUCUUUCUCCCGUCGAGUAUGACGAGAGAGCUCAAUAUAGGGAUGAGGAAUGUUAAUGCCUUGUGGAAGAACGCUAGACUAGGACACCUAUAAAAUCAUCUAUAUACAUGAUGAAAAAGUAUAGCAUACCUUGCCAUUCAUCAAUCUUUAUGGGCACAUAUUCGACAAUGCCAACAACGAGCAUAACACCUGAGUUUACUAAUUUGAUGGUGCCGACUGUCUACACAAUGUGUAAGCCAAGGUGCUUAGCUUUUUGCUCAUCAAUUAAGUUGUGUUACCCUGGUGUCUAGUAUUAUGGUUGUUGAUUUCUCUCCAAUGACUGUGUCAACAUACAACAUGCUCUUGUUUUUAGAGUGAUUGAAAAGAGUAACUGGGUUAGGUUGACGGGUAACUAUAGGGAUCCCAUGAUAGCAUGGGGAUCUUUUUGGGAUUUACCUUUGUGGAACUUAGUCACUAAGGCAAUUAGGUUCUUUUUGUUGGGACAGUCC
rnacentral:lncRNA from 1 species